UACGUAGGGUGCGAGCGUUGUCCGGAAUUACUGGGCGUAAAGAGCUCGUAGGUGGUUUGUCGCGUUGUCCGUGAAAACUCACAACUCAAUUGUGGGCGUGCGGGCGAUACGGGCAGACUGGAGUACUGCAGGGGAGACUGGAAUUCAUGGUGUAGCAGUGAAAUGCGUAGAGAUCAUGAGGAAGACCAGUGGCGAAGGCGGGUCUCGGGACAGUUCCUGACACUGAGGCACGAAGGCCAGGGGAGCAAACGGG
rnacentral:rRNA from 1 species